GCGGUGGAGCAUGUGGUUAAUUCGACGCAACGCGAAGAACCUUACCAGGGCUUGACAUCCCCUGACCGCGUAUGAAAGUACGUUUUCACCCUCGGGUGACAGGGAGACAGGUGGUGCAUGGUUGUCGUCAGCUCGUGUCGUGAGAUGUUGGGUUAAGUCCCGCAACGAGCGCAACCCCUACGUUUAGUUGCUAACGCGUGAAGGCGAGCACUCUAGACGAACUGCCGUUGACAAAACGGAGGAAGGUGGGAUGACGUCAAAUCAUCAUGCCCCUUAUGUUCUGGGCUACACACGUGCUACAAUGGCCGGUACAGACGGACGCAAAGCCGCGAGGUGGAGCAAAUCCUAAAAAGCCGGUCUCAGUUCGGAUUGCAGGCUGCAAUUCGCCUGCAUGAAGUCGGAAUCGCUAGUAAUCGCAGGUCAGCAUACUGCGGUGAAUACGUUCCCGGGCCUU
rnacentral:rRNA from 1 species